rnacentral:rRNA from 1 species
AGGGUUCGAUCCUGGCUCAGGACGAACGCUGGCGGCGUGCUUAACACAUGCAAGUCGAACGGAGAGAGAUGGAAGCUUGCUUCUAUCGAUCUUAGUGGCGAACGGGUGAGUAACGCGUAACCAACCUGCCUCACACAGGGGGAUAACAGUUAGAAAUGACUGCUAAUACCGCAUAAGCGCACGGUACCGCAUGGUACAGUGUGAAAAACUCCGGUGGUGUGAGAUGGAUCCGCGUCUGAUUAGGUAGUUGGUGAGGUAACGGCCCACCAAGCCGACGAUCAGUAGCCGACCUGAGAGGGUGACCGGCCACAUUGGGACUGAGACACGGCCCAA